rnacentral:rRNA from 1 species
CCUACGGGAGGCAGCAGUGAGGAAUAUUGGUCAAUGGUCGUAAGGCUGAACCAGCCAAGUCGCGUGAGGGAGGAAGGUUCUGUGUUUUGUAAACUUCUUUUGUCAGGGAAUAAAGGUGUCCACGUGUGCCUGUUUGCAUGUACCCUAUGAAUAAGCAUCGGCUAACUCCGUGCCAGCAGCCGCGGUAAUACGGAGGAUGCGAGCGUUAUCCGGAUUUAGUGGGUUUAAAGGGUGCGUAGGCGGACUGUUAAGUCAGCGGUAAAAGCCCGGGGCUCAACCCCGGCGCGCCGUUGAAACUGGCAGUCUCGAGAUGGAGAGAGGUAUGCGGAAUGCGCAGUGUAGCGGUGAAAUGCUUAGAUAUUGCGCAGAACUCCGAUUGCGAAGGCAGCAUACCGGCUGCGAUCUGACGCUGAGGCACGAAAGCGUGGGUAUCGAACAGGAUUAGAUACCCUGGUAGUC